rnacentral:rRNA from 1 species
UACGUAGGGUGCAGGCGUUAAUCGGAAUCACUGGGCGUAAAGGGUGCGUAGGCGGGUCUUUAAGUCAGGGGUGAAAUCCUGGAGCUCAACUCCAGAACUGCCUUUGAUACUGAGGAUCUUGAGUUCGGGAGAGGUGAGUGGAACUGCGAGUGUAGAGGUGAAAUUCGUAGAUAUUCGCAAGAACACCAGUGGCGAAGGCGGCUCACUGGCCCGAUACUGACGCUGAGGCACGAAAGCGUGGGGAGCAAACAGG